AGAAGUUCACAACAGAACAUCGAAACACAACACAAAAUAGAACUCUUUUUCAUUUUUUUUAAUUCUUUUUUUGAUUCUUUUCUUUUUCUUCU
rnacentral:ribozyme from 13 species